CCACCAUGAAACUGAACAGUUAUAAGUCGGAAAAUUGGGACUGGAGAGGUGGCUGGUUGGUUAAAAGCAGUAGUUGUUCUGGCAGAGGACCUGGGUCACACCACAGGGUGGCUCAGAACCAUCAAUAACUUAAGAUUGUGGGGACCAAAGCCCACUUCUGACUUCUAGAGGUACUGGGUAUGCAUAUGACGCACAUAAUACAUGCAAGCAAAACAUCUUUACAUACGAAAUAUAAAUAGCAAAAAGUUUUACGUUGGGUGAUUCCUGGGAAAGGUUCUUGUUGGCUGUCGUUUGGGUAUCAGGUACUUCACAUCCAACAAAGCCUUUAGAAGCUGUCUAGAAAACAUGUUUAUAAAGCUAAAUGUGGGGCCUAGAGAGAUGGUUCAGCGGUUAAGGGCACUGGCUGCUCUUCCAGAGGUCCUGAGUUCAAUUCCCAGCAACCACGUGAUGGCUCACAACCAUCUGUAAUGAGAUCUGAUGCCCUCUUGUGGUGUAUCUGAAGAUAGCUACAGUGUACUCAUAUGCAUAAAAAAAUAUUAAAAAAAAAAGACAUUGGAAGAAACCCACUUGACCCACCAAUGUGGGGCAUCCAUAACCUCCAUUCUGGGUGUAUGUUAAGGAGUACUCAUUUAUAACUACUUCAGAUUCAAUUUGCAUUUUAGAUCAGUAUUUUCUCAAUUUCCCAAUCUUCAUUUUAUAUUCAGUUUCUUUCACAGUUAGAAAUUUCUACAAGGGUCUUCGCCAUCAGAGUGAAGCACAGUACAGUUUACUUUAAAAUUAAAAAAAAAGAAGGUAUGGUGUGUGUGUGUGUGUGUCUGUCUGUCUGUCUGUCUGUCUGUCUACCCAGAGUUGCUUGCCUGAACCUGUUUAUUCUCGGUGCUUUGGGGCUUUCAGUUGCACAGGGAGAAGUAAGAGAUGCUUCGGGUAAGGCGCGUUCUGCUCUCACAGAGUUCUGUUCAUGUUAUGGGCUGGGAACUUGAAAGGAUAUUUCCAAAUCUCACAGCCCAGGAGGGGCCCGGGUAUUGACAGGGCAGACUGUUUGAGAGGUUUAGCAUGCCUCCGCCCACGUCUGUGCCUUUUGUCUGGCAAAGACUUGUAUUUGUCACUCUUUCGACUUCAUUUCAAAUUGGUCCAGUUGGCUCAGUUCUUCGCUAGUGGUAAAGCUAGUUCCUCCCGAGUAGCAAGGAGACCUACGGAGAGAGGGAGUGUGCUCUGUGCUGCAGCCUAGACCUGGCCGUGCCUGGACCCCUCUGGAACAGGAGCCCCUCCCUGGCAGUGUCCUGGACAGAAAAACAUAGUCAACUUUCCUGGUCGUGGGAUUCUUUCUAGCAAAGACCUAGACAGGAGGCGAUGCAGGAGAUUUCCGACCUGGAGCCCUUAGGAGCUGGGGUGGAUUUUCUUUGCCAAUUCUUCCCACUGCCUUGAGCUCAGAGUAUCUGGCUGAUGUGGAGAUUUUUGGAUAGGGAUUGAGACCCCCCCCUUUCCAAAAAAUAGAGCCAGGCUUGGGGGGCGGGGAGGGGAUUAUGUCUGUAAUUCCAGCUCUCCAGUGACUGAGGCAGGAGGAUUGCUGAGAUUUUUGAGGUCAAGCCUGGACUACAGAGUGAGACACUGAUACAAAGGAACACCAGGGAUGAUGAUGUAAUAGAUAAAGUCCUUGCCUACCACCCAGGAAGUUUGUGGAAGGCACAUCCCUGUGACCUCGGGAACUGGGAAGUGGAGGCAGGAGGAUCAGGAGUUCAAGGUCAUCUUCCUUAACAGGGCUAGAGACUCUUGAAAUUAACAUGAAUGCCAUAAAAAAAAAAUCUAACAUUCGAAACAAAAAACUACAAACACAUGCUUGGAGAUGUCUUCUCUCCCUGUUAUUUUGCUGUGCUGGCACACGCCUUCUGGAAUGGGAAGCCUUGCCUAGAGGCCACAGCGAGAGCUAACACAUUACGAAAACUGGCAGAUUUUUUUAAACCACCAUGUGGUUAAACCCAUCGCUAAGCUUCAGAAAGACAAACCCCAGAGGCCCUAGACUUAGAAAUUCCUAUGCAGUGUGAAAAUUAAUUUCCUCCAUGGUUUAAUGCAGUCAAGGUGUUCUUUGACACACUGUUUUCUGGGGACAUAAUCUAUUCAUCUGUUCCUUAAUCCUGCUUUCUGUGUGGAUUCCUCCCCACCCCACGACUCUCUCCUUUUUCUGGUGAGAUUUCCACUCUUAAAAGAGACCUCUCUGGGGAUGGAGAGGUGGCUCAGUGGUUAAGAGCACUGACUGCUCUUCCAGAGGUCCUGAGUUCAAAUCCCAGCAACCACAUGGUGGCUCACAACCAUCUGUAAUGAGAUCCGGUGCCCUCUUCUGGUGUGUCUGAAGACAGCUACAGUGUACUUAUAUACAAUAAAUAAAUACAAAUAGAAAGAAUGUUACUUAAAAAGUAGUGACAUCUUAAAAUUGGCACAGAAAAUCUGUACAGAGAUCAGACAGCUUUCAUAAUAGUAGUUCAGGGCUUCUUAUUACUGUAGGUAAUAACGAAUAUUUAUUAACUCUAGGUGCAGCUCUUUUGAUCUGAGUCCUAUCACCAAACCCAUCAUACUGACAAAGAAAUGGAGACACAUAAGAAUCUUUCCUGAGACUUUAUCAAUAGUAAGUAACAGACUGGUUUUUAGGAAUAUUUAUUUAUUUAUUGAUUGAUUGAUUGUAUAGAAGUGUCGGGGGUUGGGGAUUUAGCUCAGUGGUAGAGCGCUUGCCUAGCAAGCACAAGGCCUUGGGUUCGGUCCCCAGCUCCGAAAAAAAGAAAAAAAAAAAAAAAAGAAGUGUUUCUUCUUCAGGCCUUACUGGUUCCGUGUGCCAUGCACACGUAUGUGCGUGCACUCAGCAGGCUCGCACGCUAUCACAUGUGCAGGUUUGUGCACCUCCCUCCAAGGUUCUCUCGAGUUUCCCUUUCACAGCGGCAGCCACCUCUCUCCCUCCCUCUUCCCACCACGUCUGACCACUCCUUUCUCCCGAGUCUGUACUUUUGCCAUUUCAAGAACGCUGCAUACCUAGAGCCACGCAGCGUGGGAUCUUCUGAGGUUGGCACUGGGCAUCAUUUCCCGGGCUUUCUCAAUGCUGUACCGCAGGGUGAGCUCCGCCACAGUUUAACCAUCCACUCGUGUUUCCGGUUCAGCACUAUUACCAACAAAGCUGCAGGGAACAUUCGAGUUCAGAUCUCUGUGAGCGUGAGUGUUCAUCCCCUGAAGACGAACUGCCAAGAGCUGGUUGCUGGGUUACAUGACAACCGCCCAUCUCCGAGGGAAGUCAGGGCAGGACCUCAAAGCAGGAACAUGGAGACUGGAACUGAAGCAGAAACCCCAGAAGGGUGCUCCUUACUGGCCUACGCUCCACAGCUUUCAAGGUUGACUUCUUAAAGGAUCCAGGGCCACCUGCAGGAGAUGGCACCACCCACUGUGGGCUGUGCCUUCCCACAUCAGACAUUAAGCAGUAGAAUGUCCCCCAGAUUCUCACAGGCCAGUCUGAUGGAGGUGACUCCAGUCAAGUUGACAGAAGUUAAGCAGCACAUCAGAGUGUGAGACAACCAUUGUUCUGGUUCUGACCUAGUGACACAUUAGCACCUGACAGUUUCUAUGGAAAAGUUGCCCCUUCUGCCUCUAAUUAGUAAGUACUUGGUAGGGGAGAUCUUGAGAGAUUAAGGAAGCAUCUCAAUUGGGCCUCAUUAAACUUGCCACCUC